rnacentral:rRNA from 1 species
GAUGAACGCUGGCGGCGUGCUUAACACAUGCAAGUCGAACGGAAAGGCCCAAGCUUGCUUGGGUACUCGAGUGGCGAACGGGUGAGUAACACGUGGGUGAUCUGCCCUGCACUUCGGGAUAAGCCUGGGAAACUGGGUCUAAUACCGGAUAGGACGAUGGUUUGGAUGCCAUUGUGGAAAGUUUUUUCGGUGUGGGAUGAGCUCGCGGCCUAUCAGCUUGUUGGUGGGGUAAUGGCCUACCAAGGCGUCGACGGGUAGCCGGCCUGAGAGGGUGUACGGCCACAUUGGGACUGAGAUACGGCCCAGAUUCCUACGGGAGGCAGCAGUGGGGAAUAUUGCACAAUGGGCGCAAGCCUGAUGCAGCGACGCCGCGUGGGGGAUGACGGCCUUCGGGUUGUAAACUCCUUUCGCUAGGGACGAAGCGUUUUUGUGACGGUACCUGGAGAAGAAGCACCGGCUAACUACGUG